rnacentral:rRNA from 1 species
UACAGAGGGUGCAAGCGUUGUUCGGAAUUACUGGGCGUAAAGCGCACGUAGGCGGAUACUUAAGUCAGGGGUGAAAUCCCGGGGCUCAACCCCGGAACUGCCUUUGAUACUGGGUAUCUCGAGUCCGGAAGAGGUGAGUGGAAUUCCGAGUGUAGAGGUGAAAUUCGUAGAUAUUCGGAGGAACACCAGUGGCGAAGGCGGCUCACUGGUCCGGUACUGACGCUGAGGCACGAAAGCUAGGGGAGCAAACAGG